rfam:Tetranychus urticae London genomic scaffold, scaffold_10
CGAGUCGUCAAAGGGGUUGUGAAAUGUUCAUUGUAAGCAAAUCCAUAUCACAGCCAGCUUUGAUGAUUUUGA